ACUCUCUCUGUCCUGUCCCGUCCCGCCCCCCCUCUCUCUCCCUGGGGGGGGGGGGGUACGGGACGGGACAGAGAGGGG
rnacentral:miRNA from 1 species